UAAUGGUUUUUAUCUGCUAUAGGAUAGGAUCGUGUUCGAUUAUGGUUGUUGGUGAGAUAAUGGCUCACCAAGCCGAUAAUCGAUAGGGGCCGUGAGAGCGGGAGCCCCGAGAUGGGUACUGAGACAACGACCCAGGCCUUACGAGGCGCAGCAGGCGCGGAACCUCCGCAAUACACGAAAGUGUGACGGGGUUACCCAAAGUGUUCAAUAGAACUGUGGUAGGUGAGUAAUGUCCCCUACUAGAAAGGAGAGGGCAAGGCUGGUGCCAGCCGCCGCGGUAAAACCAGCUCUUCAAGUGGUCGGGAUAAUUAUUGGGCUUAAAGUGUCCGUAGCCGGUUUAGCAAGUUCCUGGUAAAAUCGGGUAGCUUAACUAUCUGCAUGCUAGGAAUACUGCUAUACUAGAGGGCGGGAGAGGUCUGAGGUACUACAGGGGUAGGGGUGAAAUCUUAUAAUCCUUGUAGGACCACCAGUGGCGAAGGCGUCAGACUGGAACGCGCCUGACGGUGAGGGGCGAAAGCCAGGGGAGCGAACCGGAUUAGAUACCCGGGUAGUCCUGGCCGUAAACGAUGCAUACUAGGUGAUGGUACGGCCAUGAGCCGUAUCAGUGCCGUAGGGAAACCGUUAAGUGUGCCGCCUGGGAAGUACGGUCGCAAGGCUAAAACUUAAAGGAAUUGGCGGGGGAGCACCACAAGGGGUGAAGCCUGCGGUUCAAUUGGACCCAACGCCGGGAAACUUACCAGGGGAGACAGCAGUAUGACGGUCAGGUUGACGACCUUACCCGACGAGCUGAGAGGAGGUGCAUGGCCGUCGCCAGUUCGUUCCGUGAGGUAUCCUGUUAAGUCAGGCAACGAACGAGAUCCGCACCUUUAUUUGCCAACAAGAAGUCACGACUUCGUUGGGAACACUAAAGGGACCGCCGUCGAUAAGAUGGAGGAAGGAGCGGGCAAAGGCAGGUCAGUAUGCCCCGAAACCCCUGGGCUACACGCGGGCUGCAAUGGUGCGAACAAUGGGCUGUGACUCCGAAAGGAGAAACCAAUCCCGAAAUCAUAUCUCAGUUGGAAUUGUCGGCUGUAACCCGCCGACAUGAACGUGAAAUCUCUAGUAAUCGUGUGUCUUCAUCGCACGGUGAAUACGUCUCUGCUCCUUGCACACACCGCCCGUCGCUCCAUCCGAGUGUGCUAAAAAUGAGGUCUGGUCAGUCUGGUCAUAUCGAGUUUCUAGUAUGCGA
rnacentral:rRNA from 1 species